rnacentral:rRNA from 1 species
GUGGGGAAUUUUGGACAAUGGGCGCAAGCCUGAUCCAGCCAUUCCGCGUGCAGGAUGAAGGCCUUCGGGUUGUAAACUGCUUUUGUACGGAACGAAAAGGUUCUCUCUAAUACAGGGGGCUGAUGACGGUACCGUAAGAAUAAGCACCGGCUAACUACGUGCCAGCAGCCGCGGUAAUACGUAGGGUGCAAGCGUUAAUCGGAAUUACUGGGCGUAAAGCGUGCGCAGGCGGUGAUGUAAGACAGUUGUGAAAUCCCCGGGCUCAACCUGGGAACUGCAUCUGUGACUGCAUUGCUGGAGUGCGGCAGAGGGGGAUGGAAUUCCGCGUGUAGCAGUGAAAUGCGUAGAUAUGCGGAGGAACACCGAUGGCGAAGGCAAUCCCCUGGGCCUGCACUGACGCUCAUGCACGAAAGCGUGGGGAGCAAACAGGAUUAGAAACCCUAGUAGUCC